CACUGCAACUUCCAGAUACAUUUUCUAGGCCUCUGGUUUUGGCCUUUUUAAAUGUUGGCAUAUGGACUAAGGAAUGGAAUACCUAACUGCUCUCCAAGAAAGGAGUUUGUUACUUCUGGGUCACAGAUUCCACACGUUCACCUUUCUGGCCUUCAUACCUCACGUGUCACAGCCAAGACUCCUAGGAGGUCCCCUGCCUGCCGUCAUGAAGGGCGCCUGCAGCCUGGUGCGCCACCCCCACAUGCCCUGCACGCGGCAAACCGCUCAAUAAGGACUGCAGUGAACACUUUCUUUAAAUCAUUGAUGGUUUUCUUAAUCAUCUUAGAAUCACUCUGCUACACGGAUGUCCCUGGAGUUUCGAUUCCUAAAUCAGCAGUCUUCCACUCCGCAUCCGCGCCCCCGCAGUGCCCCGCCUGGCACGGGCAGGGGUGCCUCCCAGACAACGGAAACCAGACGAGGGCCAGGCCAGGCAGACACACCGGGCAGCCACUGAACUGCUGGGCCAAGACCUCCAGCCUCCCAAACCCAGAUUCCUGGUCCUAGGAGACGGCUUUCUCAGCUGCAGCCCAGACUCCGCGCUAAUCCGAAGAGCUGACCGUCUGCUGUUGACAGGCCAGCUUGAGUGAGAGGCCAAGAUAACUAUGAGAGGAAUGUAGUUUAUAGUUAAACUUCAAGGCAAGGAAAAAUGACACCCGUCCUUGUUUGGAGAUUAAGACUGGCAUUGCUACAGGGGCCUGAACUUUGCUAAAGAACAGGCACGGGUAAACCAUGACCUGUCACUGCUUACUUAGCUUGCUCUUCUACAGUGCCUGCUACCCGGAGUCACGUAACCAGACGUUGUCAGAUUCGGAACUUCCCUAACGGCUCCUACAGACAUCACUGCUGUGAAACCUAAAAAACUGGUCUUUGGGAUAUUUUUCAGAUUUAGCAUUUCAGCAGAUCAAGAGAUGCCACCUGGACUUGUGACCCCAUCUCCCAGGAACUGACUCAGCUGCACGGAGACAGUCCUGACACCCCUAUCAUUGCAUCCCCAACACAACCAACCAGCAUUCACCACUCCCUAGGCCGCUGCCCGCCAAAACACCCUCAAGCCCUCGCCUCCUAAUUCUCAGGGAGACAGAUGUGAGAGUUAUCUCGCGUCCACCUCCCUCGGCUGGCUCUGCAAUCAUUAAACUCCCUCUCUGCUGCCACACCUGCCGUUCUCAGUGCAUUGGCUUUCUGGGCAGCAAGAAGAACCCUGUUGGGCGAUUACAGUCUUAAUUUGCAUUCCCCUAAUAACUAACAAUGUUGACCAUC
rnacentral:lncRNA from 1 species